rnacentral:siRNA from 1 species
GGAGGCCAACUCGGUUCCUUGG